AUGCGAGAGAGGGAGAGAAUGAAGGAGAGGAGGGAGGCCCGGCAGCGACGGGAGAGGGUCACCGACCGGCGCCGGCGAGGUCAGGUGCGACCUGGUGGUUGGUGGUGGCUUGAUCCACUCCUGGAUCCUUCUUCCACUUCUCCACUGCCUAAUAUGGGGCACCGGUCAGGGAGCACGGGAUCGAUGUUCUGCGGCUCGAGGUUUGCUUCCUUUCUGAGAAGAAGCAGGAGCAAAGCAUAUGCUUGCUCUUCCAUGGUGAGUUUGGAGUUUACCCUCUGUCCCUGGAAGUUGAAAUUGGCUAUCAUGCAAGCGAUGGCCUUUUCUUAG
rnacentral:rRNA from 1 species